rnacentral:lncRNA from 1 species
AUCAGCACGAACGGUCUUACCAGCCCCUUUCAAUAUGAUUAAAAAGAAAAAGACGAGAUCUUCAAAACCGUUGAACCGCCCAUGACCAGCCACAAACUUUGUACUAUGGAUGUUGUAUUUUCCCUUUUAUGCCUUCAAAUAGACUGCUAGCCUCUGCCUUAUCACCGCUUUGCAGCCGCGGUUCAAAGGCAGGGGAGGAGGAUGACGCCGACAACGUGGAACCAUGGGCUGACACUUGAGAUCCCACCAGAUAUGGUGGCCCCGCAUCUUCAAGUUUCCAAGGAGAGUCAACAUUUCAAAUAUUCUGUUCAGUCGUUAGAUCACUUAUUCUGAUUUGAGAGCACAGAACAGAUGUCACCUGAGGAAGAGUUUUGAAGCGAAUAAAUCCUUCGGUUGGCUCCUACA